GGGCUCAGCUGGUGCCGAGCCCCUUCUUUAAUAUUAGCCGGAGCACUAGUUGACAUUCAUGUGAGCCUCCGCUAAAGCAGGGGCACGAGGCUUUAAAUCACUGUCAGGGCUCCACACAGAGCUGCACACAUAACUUCUGACUCCACUCUGUUGGUUAGGAGCAACAGCAGAUGAUCUGGACUUAAGCUAGACAAAUAACUGCCCUCCACUUCCUCCCCCCCUCACCCUCCUCACCCUCCUCCCAGUCUGCUCCGGGCUGCUUUAGUCAAUAUCCGGUCCUGCUUUUCCUACUUCUCAUUCCUGGCCUCUCCCUGCUCAGCCCUUAUCUCUCUUCACUCUUUAUUGCCCUCUUCAUCUGAGGGCUGUUGUUUAGAUUGACAUCUGCCACGACGGCUGAUAAAGACCAAACCGUCCCUCUCACGACCAUCAAAAUCCAAUUCUUGGGUAAAGACGGGAUCAUGCUGUGACGAUACUUCCUCGAACUCAUCAGGCUGCAGAUUACUGCAACAAAAAAAGAGCAGAAUUCAUGAUGAUCUGGACAAAGAGCUGACCUCCCCACCAAAUGGACCACUGCUGUCGAUCAGCUGCUGUCCUUCAGCCCCGUAUCAGGCUGAAACACACACACACACACACACACACAGUGAAGCACUGGAGCACUAACAUGUCAGCAUAAUGAAAUUAGACAGCCUCGUUUGUGACGCUGCAUUGUCCUUGUUCAUCGGUGGCACCGUUCCCACCACACACGGCCUCCUCACCCUGUCCGGAGCUGAGCGACCAGGAUAUUGCUAAUCGCUCACAAUAGAAGGAUUAGCAAGCAAGGACAAUAGGGAUCUAAAUGUCAGAGGCCAGCACCUGCCCUAAGCCCUCUCUGUCGGACAACAGUUAAUGGGCAGCAGGCGGCGGGCAAAUUGUGAAGCGCCGCUCGAAAGAGGAGGCGGGGAGAGGAGGCCUCCGGAGAAAACUGAUGUACAUACAGCUGAAGACAUUUAAAUUUACGACACAUGUCCACAGAUUAAUGUUGGAUAAUAAUCUGAAAAUAUGACAUUUAUAUACUCAGGGAUAGUGAGCACCGCCCACAUUUAAUAAAAGGGAAAUGAAUAAAAACUAAAGUUUAAUUCAGAAAUCAGACAUUGGAUUAAUUCUAAAUCAUAAACCUGAAUUCUCAUUUCAUGAAAUUCCACCUCUGAAGAACAUUAAGGUACAUACUAACUAAACAAGAGGGUACUUUGUUUACAUUCACAUUUUAACUAAAUACUUUAUGUACAUUAAUACUUCAUUUACAUUCUAACUAAUAUUUUGUUCACAUUUUAAUUUAACCAGAUGGCACUUUGUUUACAUUUAGAGUUUAACUGAAUACUUUGUUUACAUUAAUACUUUGUUUAUAUUUUAACUUAACCAGAAGGUAGUUUGUUCACAUUUUAACUAUAUACUUUGUUUAGCUUUUUACAUAACCAGAGGGUGCUUUGUUUACAUUUAUACUCUUUUUACAUUUUAACUGUACCAAAGGGUGCUUUGUUUAUAUUUAUACUCUUUUUACAUUUUAACUGUACCAAAGGGUGCUUUGUUUAUAUUUUAGCUUGUUUACAUUGGUAAUUUGUUUACAUUUAACUUAACCAGAGGGUACUUUGUUUACAUUUUAACCUCAUACUUUGUUUACAUUUUAACUUAAUGCUUUGUUUACAUUAAUACUUUGUUUAUAUUUUAACUUACCCAGAGGGUACUUUAUUUACAUUUUAACUUAACAAGAGGGUACUUUGUUUACAUCUUUAGAAAAACAACAACAACCAGAGGUAAUUUGUUUUUUUUUUCAAAGUCCAUCUUUGGGGCGCUUUGUUAACAUUUAAUAGCUCAGAAAAUGCAGCUACAGGUGCUUUAUCCACAUUUAUGCUUUAUGGUAUUUUUCACGUGAUUAUCACUGUAAGGGCACCAGAUGAGCUUUUUUUGGUCCUUCAUCCAGUUUAAAACAUCUAAGAGUGCACUUAUGUGUUAUUGUUCAAACAUGGCCAUGGGGGGGCAAAGGGAGGUUUGCCCUUCUACUCCCUCUCUAAGCACGCCACUGCUGCCCCCCUCAGGCAGAAGGACCAGAUAGUCAACACAGAUGUGAAUGUAAAUGAGAUGCACGAUGAGUCAAAGUGGGAAUGCCGAGUAUUGGUGAGAGGCUGAAUAGCUUCGUAUAUCAUCCAACUAUAAAAGUCAUUUCUCUCUUAAUGUCCAAAUUAAGUCCAAGUGAGAAGCGAGCGAGUGAAAAAUGCCGCCAUUCCAGCAGACUUCAGGACCAGCUGAGUUUCUAUGAAAUUCCUUGAGCGUGUUUUAUGAAGCUCCUUUUUAUACCGAGGUGUUUUCACUUCCUUCAGCCGUCGUACUGCUUCAGCUGCAGCACUUCCAUUAAUUUGUAGCUUAGCCUUCAGCUAAACAAAACACUACCACUGCUGCAAUUUAAUAGGCAAGGCACAGCGCUGUAGAGAGAGCGAAUGAUGUUGAGUGUCACUGGUAUAAAAAUCAUUGUCUCAUAAUAGCUGACUCUCAGGAGAAAGCUGGUAUUCUUUACUGACUGCCUGCCUUCUUCAAAGCAAGGGCAAAGCUGUUUUGAGAAACACUAAACGAAGUGUUUUUUCACGCAGAGCAACCCUACAGCCAAGAACUUUUUCAGAUGCCACACUCGAGCUUUUCUCUCCAUUUCCUCUUGCAUACAUUUCUAUAAACCCACCGAGCGCGGCCUUGGCUUCUGAAGGUAAUUGUCUCACCCUCGCUGCUUCACUUACAGUGCAGAGCAAGCACAGGACUAAUCUUAUCAGUGCAUGCAGCUCUCUACAAGCCAGACACCUUCAAUGCCAGCUCUCACCUCCUGAUCAAUACAGAUCAGUCCUGGGGAAAUAUGGAGAGCUGUUAUCAGCUGAGAGUGAUAAUAAACGUCGACUAUCUCCAGAGUUACACAGGCUGACAGCUCAGGUGGGCUGUGGAGAACUUAGUCAAACUUAUUACUGUUCGUCUUUUAAUGAACUGAGCUGCCACCAAAGGGAAGACAUCGCUGUGUUGUCCCACAUUACUACAAUAAAAGCUCCAGACACAGCAGCUUCCAUACCUAAAAAACAGUCACGGAAACAACAUCCAUCUUCAUGUCAGAAAAAACCAACAGUUCCUUAUUAAAGACCUUCAGCCAGGAAGUCAGUCAGCCUUGUUUUACCUCCUCUGACUGUGAGGACCUUAGUCGUAAAAGUAAUGUUCAGCACAGUAACACAAAGAAAUAAUCCAAAUGUCAGACAGAGCAGCGCUGCUCCCGCUAACCCAACCUCGGUCCACUAACACAGUCUUAUACAUCAACACUGGGCCCACCCACCCACCCAGCUCCCAUGAUGCUUUACAACAACCAGCAAACAGUGGUGGUUCAUUUAUGUCGAUGAUGAUGUUUCAAUUUCUUCAAUUAAAGGGAUAUCCCGGCAUAAAAUUAAUUUAGGGUCAAACCCACCGUAACACAGUUAGACCCCCCCUCCAGAGAUGAAUGUUGCCGACCGCUUGCUUCUCUAGUUAUACCAACUUUAGCAACGACCCCAGGAUAGAAAUACAGAGAGCCACGCCCUCAACCAAAACGCCACUCUAUAGCCACAAAUAAUGCUCAGAACAGCACCUAACUUCAUCAACAGGACAUAUAGGGUCACAGACAUAGUACUAGACACCAAACAUCUUUUUAACUUUGACUCAUUUCUUUAGCAAAGAGACUAAACACAACUCACCUACUCUCUUCCAGCAGCUGCUUGUUUGUAGUGAGACCUCAGGCUAGUCCAUUAUGGACUACAGCGGGGUGACGCAGCUCAAGGAAGAACAUUUAUGAUCAAAAUACAAACCGUGCGUUUCUGUUCCAGCCUGAGCGAGUAACAAAGAUUCGUCUCUUUUUUUACUUCCUUUAGUUUUCUCCUGUUUGACUUCAGGUCAGGCUCAGACUAGUUCUGGUCCCGUUGAGGUGAAAGCAUGCAAAAGAAAACUGACCCAGAAUCACAUCAUGGGUUUGUUAGUCGGACUAUGAUUACAACUCAGUCAGACUGGAAUGUUUUCUCAUUUUUUAAAGUCCAGGUUCAGUCAAAAGGACGCCAUAUAUGGACUCCUAACAUCUCAUAAACGGACUGUGACAAAAACUUUUCUUUCCAACAUGAAGGAUAUUUUAAUUAGUGGGAGGUGAAGUUUAAAAUAUAAUCAGAGACAGUUAUCAUAACCUAACUUUAUGUCACCCUACUAGGGGCGGGUCCUUGGUGUUCUCGCCUGUCAGUCAAGUCAUUUGUGCCUCUGAUUCGAUUACAUUGAAUCAAACUUGGGCUCUCUGAGCUACGCCAACUUGAACAUUUUGCAUACAGCCUCCAGUGGACACUGAGAGAACUGCAGUUUUUAACACUUACCUGAUCAGUCUGACAUCUACCUGACGUCGGAGGUUAGAAACAUUCAAAACUGGACACUGACCAUCUGCUCUGCUUUUGUAGGUUAUGUGGAAACAGCAGCAGCAGCAUUAGUUCCAGCCUGUUUCAUAACCUCCUGAAAACUCCUCACAGGAGCUUUAAACCGUCAUCACGUGCAGAGAUGUGACCCACUUCAGA